AUGACUCUCGGCAAUGGAUAUCUUGGCUCUUGCAUCGAUGAAGAACGUAGUGAAAUGCGAUACUUGGUGUGAAUUGCAGAAUCUCGUGAACCAUUGAGUCUUUGAACGCAAGUUGUGCCCGAGGCUUUGUGGCCGAGGGCACGCCUGCUUGGGCGUCA
rnacentral:rRNA from 1 species